AUGCAGUCGAACGAUGAUCCCCAGNUUGCUGGGGGGAUUAGUGGCGAACGGGUGAGUAACACGUGAGUAACCUGCCCUUAACUCUGGGAUAAGCCUGGGAAACUGGGUCUAAUACCGGAUAUGACUGAUCAUCGCAUGGUGGUUGGUGGAAAGCUUUAUNGNGGUUUUGGAUGGACUCNCGGCCUAUCANCUUGUUGGUGAGGUAAUGGCUUACCAAGGCNACNACGGGUAGCCGGCCUGANAGGGUGACCGGCCACACUGGGACUGANACACGGCCCANACUCCUACGGGAGGCAGCAGUGGGGAAUAUUGCACAAUGGGCGCAAGCCUGAUGCANCGACNCCNCGUGAGGGAUGACGGCCUUCGGGUUGUAAACCUCUUUCAGUAGGGAANAAGCGAAAGUGACGGUACCUGCANAANAAGCGCCGGCUAACUACNUGCCANCANCCGCGGUAAUACGUAGGGCGCAAGCGUUAUCCGGAAUUAUUGGGCGUAAAGAGCUCGUAGGCGGUUUGUCGCGUCUGCCGUGAAAGUCCGGGGCUCAACUCCGGAUCUGCGGUGGGUACGGGCANACUANAGUGAUGUAGGGNAGACUGGAAUUCCUGGUGUAGCGGUGAAAUGCGCANAUAUCAGGAGGAACACCGAUGGCNAAGGCAGGUCUCUGGGCAUUAACUGACGCUNAGGAGCGAAAGCAUGGGGAGCGAACAGGAUUAGAUACCCUGGUAGUCCAUGCCGUAAACGUUGGGCACUAGGUGUGGGGGACAUUCCACGUUUUUCCGCGCCGUAGCUAACGCAUUAAGUGCCCCGCCUGGGGAGUACGGCCGCAAGGCUAAAACUCAAAGGAAUUGACGGGGGCCCGCACAAGCGGCGGAGCAUGCGGAUUAAUUCGAUGCA
rnacentral:rRNA from 1 species